UAUGAACGCUAGCGGCAGGCUUAAUACUGCAAGUCGAGGGGCAUCGCGGGUAGCAAUACCUGGCGGCGACCGGCGCAUGGGUGCGUAACGCGUAUGUAAUCUACCUUUAACCGGGGAAUAGCCCAGAGAAAUCUGGAUUAAUGCCCUAUAGUAUUAUUGGAAGGCAUCUUUCGAUAAUUAAAGCUCCGGCGGUUUUAGAUGAACAUGCGUGUCAUUAGUUAGUUGGCGAGGUAACGGCUCACCAAGACUACGAUGACUAGGGGGUCUGAGAGGAUGAUCCACCACACUGGUACUGAGACACGGACCAGACUCCUACGGGAGGCAGCAGUAAGGAAUAUUGGGCAAUGGAGGCAACUCUGACCCAGCCAUGCCGCGUGAAGGAUGACGGCCCUCGUGGUUGUAAACUUCUUUUGUACGGGAAUAACCCUCCGAACGUGUUCGGAGCUGAAGGUACCGUAAGAAUAAGGAUCGGCUAACUCCGUGCCAGCCGCCGCCGUAA
rnacentral:rRNA from 1 species